UUAAGUUAUGAAGGGCGCAUGGUGAAUGCCUUGGUACUAGGAGCCGAUGAAGGACGGGACUAACACCGAUAUGCUUCGGGGAGCGGUAAGUACGCUUUGAUCCGGAGAUUUCCGAAUGGGGAAACCCAAUCAUCUUAGUCGAUGAUUGCCUGAGCAGUGAAUACAUAGCUGUCAGGCGGUAGACGCAGUGAACUGAAACAUCUAAGUAGCUGCAGGAAGAGAAAGAAAAUUCGAUUCCCUGAGUAGCGGCGAGCGAAACGGGAAGAGCCCAAACCAACGAGCUUGCUUGUUGGGGUUGUAGGACUGAACAUUUGAGUUACCAAAGUGCGACGUAGUUGAAGUCGUUGGGAAGCGACGCCAAAGAUGGUGAUAGCCCAGUAAACGAAACGUCACACUCUCAGUUCAGGAUCCUGAGUACGGCGGGACACGUGAAACCCCGUCGGAAUCCGCGAGGACCAUCUCGCAAGGCUAAAUACUCCCUAGUGACCGAUAGUGAACCAGUACCGUGAGGGAAAGGUGAAAAGCACCCCGGGAGGGGAGUGAAACAGUUCCUGAAACCAUGUGCCUACAAGCUGUCGGAGCACAUUUACGUGUGACGGCGUGCCUCUUGCAGAAUGAACCGGCGAGUCAUGAUUGCGUGCAAGGUUAAGGUGGAAAAACCGGAGCCGCAGCGAAAGCGAGUCUGAAAUGGGCGUACGAAGUACGCAGUUAUGUACCCGAAACCAGGUGACCUACCCAUGUCCAGGUUGAAGGUGCGGUAAAACGCACUGGAGGACCGAACCCGUAUCAGUUGAAAAUGGUUGGGAUGAGGUGUGGGUAGCGGUGAAAUUCCAAACGAACUUGGAGAUAGCUGGUUCUCUCCGAAAUCUCUUUAGGGGGAGCCUCGAGGUUUAGAAUCAUGGAGGUAGAGCACUGUUUGGACUAGGGGCCCGUCAUGGGUUACUGACUUCAGAUAAACUCCGAAUGCCAUUGAUUUUUACUCGGGAGUCACACGGUGAGUGAUAAGAUCCAUCGUGGAAAGGGGAACAGCCCAGAUCAUCAGCUAAGGUCCCUAAAUAUAUGCUAAGUGGAAAAGGAUGUGGAAUUGCACAGACAACUAGGAUGUUGGCUCAGAAGCAGCCAUCAUUUAAAGAGUGCGUAAUAGCUCACUAGUCGAGUGACUCUGCGCCGAAAAUGUACCGGGGCUAAGCAUAUUACCGAAGCUAUGGAUGCAUCCAUCAGGAUGCGUGGUAGGAGAGCGUUCCAAGGGCGAUGAAGUCAGACCGUAAGGACUGGUGGAGCGCUUGGAAGUGAGAAUGCCGGUAUGAGUAGCGAAAGACAGGUGAGAAUCCUGUCCACCGAAUGACUAAGGUUUCCUGGGGAAGGCUCGUCCUCCCAGGGUUAGUCGGGACCUAAGUCGAGGCCGAGAGGCGUAGACGAUGGACAACAGGUUGAUAUUCCUGUACCAGUUGAUUGUGCUUGAGUGAUGGAGUGACGCAGAAGGCUAAGCGAUCCGGACGAUUGGAAGUGUCCGGCCAAGCAGCAAGUCAGUUGAUGAGUCAAAUGCUUAUCAGCGGGUUGACAAGCUGUGACGGGGAGCGAAAUUAUAGUAGCGAAGUCGUUGAUGUCACGCUGCCGAGAAAAGCUUCUAGCGAAUAAUCAACUGCCCGUACCGCAAACCGACACAGGUAGUCGAGGAGAGUAUCCUAAGGUGAGCGAGCGAACUCUCGUUAAGGAACUCGGCAAAAUGACCCCGUAACUUCGGGAGAAGGGGUGCUGAUCGCAAGAUCAGCCGCAGUGAAAAGGCCCAGGCGACUGUUUAUCAAAAACACAGGUUUCUGCAAAAUCGUAAGAUGAAGUAUAGGGGCUGACGCCUGCCCGGUGCUGGAAGGUUAAAAGGAAGAGUUAGCUUCGGCGAAGCCCUGAAUUGAAGCCCCAGUAAACGGCGGCCGUAACUAUAACGGUCCUAAGGUAGCGAAAUUCCUUGUCGGGUAAGUUC
rnacentral:rRNA from 1 species